UACGUAGGGUGCAAGCGUUGUCCGGAAUUAUUGGGCGUAAAGGGCUCGUAGGCGGUUCGUCGCGUCGGCUGUGAAAACCCGGAGCUCAACUCCGGGCCUGCAGUCGAUACGGGCGGACUUGAGUGUUGCAGGGGAGACUGGAAUUCCUGGUGUAGCGGUGAAAAUGCGCAGAUAUCAGGAGGAACACCGGUGGCGAAGGCGGGUCUCUGGGCAACUACUGACGCUGAGGAGCGAAAGCGUGGGGAGCAAACAGG
rnacentral:rRNA from 1 species